rnacentral:rRNA from 1 species
GAUGAACGCUAGCGGGAGGCCUAACACAUGCAAGCCGAGCGGUAUUUGUUCUUCGGAACAGAGAGAGCGGCGCACGGGUGCGGAACACGUGUGCAACCUGCCUUUAUCUGGGGGACAGCCUUUCGAAAGGAAGAUUAAUACCCCAUAAUAUAUUGAGUGGCAUCAUUUGAUAUUGAAAACUCCGGUGGAUAGAGAUGGGCACGCGCAAGAUUAGAUAGUUGGUGAGGUAACGGCUCACCAAGUCAAUGAUCUUUAGGGGGCCUGAGAGGGUGAUCCCCCACACUGGUACUGAGACACGGACCAGACUCCUACGGGAGGCAGCAGUGAGGAAUAUUGGACAAUGGGUUAGCGCCUGAUCCAGCCAUCCCGCGUGAAGGACGACGGCCCUAUGGGUUGUAAACUUCUUUUGUAUAGGGAUAAACCUACUCUCGUGAGAGUAGCUGAAGGUACUAUACGAAUAAGCACCGGCUAACUCCGUG